AGAGUUUGAUCCUGGCUCAGAACGAACGCUGGCGGCGUGCCUAACACAUGCAAGUCGAGCGCGAAAAGGGCAACCUGAGUAGAGCGGCGCACGGGUGCGUAACACGUGGGUAAUCUGCCUCAAAGUUUGGGAUAACCUUCCGAAAGGUUGGCUAAUACCGGAUAAGCUCAUGAGGUCUUCGGACUUUGUGGGAAAAGGUGGCCUCUAUUUAUAAGCCAUCACUUUGAGAUGAGCCCGCGGCCCAUCAGCUAGUUGGCGGGGUAACGGCCCACCAAGGCUACGACGGGUAGCUGGUCUGAGAGGACGAUCAGCCACACUGGAACUGAGACACGGUCCAGACUCCUACGGGAGGCAGCAGUGGGGAAUUUUGCACAAUGGGCGAAAGCCUGAUGCAGCAACGCCGCGUGUGUGAUGAAGGUCUUCGGAUCGUAAAGCACUUUCGACCGGGACGAACAACCUCUGGCUAACAGUCAGGGGCCUGACGGUACCGGAGAAG
rnacentral:rRNA from 1 species